GAUGAACGCUAGCGGGAGGCCUAACACAUGCAAGCCGAGCGGUAUUUGUUCUUCGGAACAGAGAGAGCGGCGCACGGGUGCGGAACACGUGUGCAACCUGCCUUUAUCUGGGGGAUAGCCUUUCGAAAGGAAGAUUAAUACCCCAUAAUAUAUUGAGUGGCAUCACUUGAUAUUGAAAACUCCGGUGGAUAGAGAUGGGCACGCGCAAGAUUAGAUAGUUGGUGGGGUAACGGCUCACCAAGUCAAUGAUCUUUAGGGGGCCUGAGAGGGUGAUCCCCCACACUGGUACUGAGACACGGACCAGACUCCUACGGGAGGCAGCAGUGAGGAAUAUUGGACAAUGGGUUAGCGCCUGAUCCAGCCAUCCCGCGUGAAGGACGACGGCCCUAUGGGUUGUAAACUUCUUUUGUAUAGGGAUAAACCUACUCUCGUGAGAGUAGCUGAAGGUACUAUACGAAUAAGCACCGGCUAACUCCGUG
rnacentral:rRNA from 1 species